UACGAAGGGGGCGAGCGUUGUUCGGAUUUACUGGGCGUAAAGGGCGCGCAGGCGGCGCAUUUUGUCAGGCGUGAAAGCCCCGGGCUUAACCUGGGAACUGCGUUUGAUACGGAUGGGCUAGAGUUCGGGAGAGGAGAGUGGAAUUCCCAGUGUAGAGGUGGAAUGCGUAGAGAUCCGGAAGAACACCGGUGGCGAAGGCGGCCCGCUGGGCAGAGACUGACGCUGAGGCGCGACAGCGUGGGGAGCAAACAGG
rnacentral:rRNA from 1 species